GUUUUACAUCUUAAUAGAACUGAUACACGACUUGCCAAUAAUCGUCAACCUCUGGAGAUUCAGAAGUUGCGCUGUCGUGUAAAUUUUAGUGCUCUGAGAUUUACUUCUCAGAUAGAGGAGUUGGGUAAAAGAGUUAUAAAUCUUCUUANUAUAAAGCUUCUUAGGCAAAAUGGUCCAUUUCUAGUACUUCACCUCAGAUAUGAGAUGGACAUGCUGGCCUUUUCUGGUUGUACUCAAGGUUGCAACAAUGAGGAGGUAGAAGAAUUGACAAGAAUGAGAUAUGCUUAUCCUUGGUGGAAAGAGAAAAUAAUAAAUUCUGACUUGAAAAGGAAAGAUGGGUUGUGCCCUUUGACACCAGAGGAAACAACCCUUACAUUGAGGGCAUUGGACAUAGAUCCAAAUAUGCAGAUCUAUAUUGCAGCGGGUGAGAUAUAUGGUGGAGAAAGGAGAAUGGCAAGUCUUGCAGCAGCUUAUCCAAAACUGGUCAGAAAGGAAACUCUGUUGGAAUCAUCAGACCUUAGAUUUUUCCAGAAUCACUCAUCCCAGAUGGCAGCUUUAGAUUAUCUUGUUUCAUUGGAAAGUGAUAUUUUUGUCCCCACAUACGACGGAAACAUGGCUAAAGUUGUUGAAGGCCAUAGGCGAUUCCUUGGGUUCAAGAAGACAAUUUUACUGGACAGAAGGCUUUUGGUUGAUCUGAUAGACAGGUUCAACAAUGGAUCACUGAGUUGGGAUGAGUUCUCUUAUGCUGUGAAAGAAUCACAUGCAAAUCGGAUGGGGAACCCAGUAAAUAGGUUGGUGAUUCCAGACAGGCCAAAAGAGGAGGAUUACUUCUAUUCCAACCCAGAAGAGUGCUUACUGUCUUCAGAGGAUCCCUUGGAUCCUUUGAGUAGCACGUGACAAAUAUUUAGGAGAUUGUGAUGUUUAUUCUACCACAGAUCAAAGGUUAGUUCGCUACGCAGGAGUAACAGUGAUAAAGGAAGAUUUUGCAAUGAAGAGGCAAUCAAGAAGAUAAUAUGUGGGUGGUGAACUUGAAGAAAGCCGAAAAUGAUCUAUGGGAGCGUUUUUAGGACGUUGUCAUCGUUAAGUAUAUGCCAAUAAUCCAAUUCAUGUAUAGAAGCUUCCCCUGCCAUUACAGGGUGAUGUCAAAUCAACAAAAUCGGAUUGUACACAAAGGGAUGCAAAUAUAGAUGUUGUGGUUUACCAGAAAUGUGGCCUCAAUGAAGGUUACUUCAUCAUCCUUCUGCUUUGUACUUUUUUUUUUUCCUUGGUUCGUUUAUGAUAUUGUGAGUUUCUAGCAAAUAUCAAAUUUUAGAAAUUUCUGUUCCAGUAUUACUGAAAUGGAUGUUUACCCCUCUCUCUCUCUCUCUCUCUCUC
rnacentral:misc_RNA from 1 species